rnacentral:lncRNA from 1 species
GAAAAGGUUACCUAUAGUUCUGUAUGAUACAAUGUUACAUUUGUAACAAGGGUAUAGCUGAAAUUUCUAGUGAGUUGACAUACAGAGAAGUAGAUAGAAAUAAUUUUGGACAUAGACAAAUGUAGAACUGAAAAGAUCUGUCUGGGAAGGAAUACCAGCAGCUUAUGUCUAACCUCCUUUGACACAUGGGAGCAACUGGGUAAGAGAAAAUGGAUUCAAAUUUCAAUUUCUGCACCAUAGGUUUUACCUAUGAGUAGCAUAUCAAGUGGUUCACUACACGCAGGGGCAAAGAAAUUUGGAAAACAAGACAAGUCAAUCUGCAUGCAAAAGUAAUUUCUGUUAUGUAUUUACAACAGAGUAAAUCUGUUAACUUUAUUUGGCUUUAUUCCAGGCUUUGAUUAAUGUGAAAUGAGUAGCAAGCUCACACUAGAUGUUAUUAAUAUUGGAAAGACUAUGUUUACAGGUGACAGGAGUACCAUGCAACUGAAUCAGUGGAGAAAAAGAAACAAUCAAUGA